GCCAGUAGCCAUAUCACCCUGCAACUCACAAGUAGCAGCCCACUGAAGCUCAGCAGGUGUGAGCCUGGCCAGUACCUGGAUGGGAGACCUCCUGGGAAAAACUAAGGUUGCUGCUGGAA
ensembl:rRNA 5S_rRNA 5S ribosomal RNA